rnacentral:rRNA from 1 species
UACGUAGGGUGCAAGCGUUGUCCGGAGUUACUGGGCGUAAAGCGCGCGUAGGCGGUUCUCUAAGUUUGGGGUGAAAGGUUCAGUGCUCAACGCGAACAGUGCCCUGGAGACUGGAGAACUUGAGUGUGGGAGGGGGCAGUGGAAUUCCUGGUGUAGCGGUGAAAUGCGUAGAUAUCAGGAGGAACACCGGUGGCGAAGGCGGCUGCCUGGCCUAACACUGACGCUGAGGUGCGAAAGCGUGGGGAGCGAACGGG